rnacentral:rRNA from 1 species
UAGGGAAUCUUCCGCAAUGGACGCAAGUCUGACGGAGCAACGCCGCGGGAGUGAAGAAGGAUUUCGGUUCGUAAAACUCUGUUGUUAGAGAAGAACAGCGCAUAGAGUAACUGUUAUGCGUGUGACGGUAUCUAACCAGAAAGCCACGGCUAACUACGUGCCAGCAGCCGCGGUAAUACGUAGGUGGCAAGCGUUGUCCGGCUUUAUUGGGCGUAAAGCGAGCGCAGGCGGUCAAUUAAGUCUGAUGUGAAAGCCCCCGGCUCAACCGGGGAGGGUCAUUGGAACCUGGUUGAGUUGAGUGCAGAAGAGGAUAGUGGAAUUCCAUGUGUAGCGGUGAAAUGCGUAGAUAUAUGGAGGAACACCAGUGGCGAAGGCGACUCUCUGGUCUGUAACUGACGCUGAGGCUCGAAAGCGUGGGUAGCAAACAGG